rnacentral:rRNA from 1 species
GACGAACGCUGGCGGCGUGCUUAACACAUGCAAGUCGAACGGUGAAGCGCCUUCCUUUUUGGUGGGUGUGGAUGAGUGGCGAACGGGUGAGUAACACGUGAGUAACCUGCCCCCUUCUUCUGGAUAACCGCAUGAAAGUGUGGCUAAUACGGGAUAUUCUGGGUCUGUCGCAUGAUGGGUCUGGGAAAGAUAUUGUUUCGGUGGGGGAUGGGCUCGCGGCCUAUCAGCUUGUUGGUGGGGUGAUGGCCUACCAAGGCGGUGACGGGUAGCCGGCCUGAGAGGGUGGACGGUCACACUGGGACUGAGACACGGCCCAGACUGCUACGGGAGGCAGCAGUGGGGAAUAGUGCACAAUGGGCGCAAGCCUGAUGCAGCGACGCCGCGUGAGGGAUGGAGGCCUUCGGGUUGUGAACCUCUUUUGCCAGUGAAGCAGGCCUGCCUCGUUUGUGGGUGGGUUGACGGUAGCUGGAUAAGAAGCGCCGGCUAACUACGUG